GCGUCAGCUCCCCUAUAUCUUCCAUGUGACUUAGCCCCUUGCUCUUCACAGUUCGUUCUCAGGACCAGCAACAUUGGUAUCAUCACCUUGAACUCUUUUCAAAAUUCAGAAUUUCAAGGCCAGACGAGCCCUGUAAAAAUCACAACAUACAUCACUGGGUCUUUAGUCAAGGUGUCAGACAAAGAUGGGAGGGGGGAGAAAUGAAGGAGGAGCUAAUAAAGGGAGAUGGGGUCAGGACUGGCUGCCUGGUUGGCAGAAACAUGUCACUGCUGAGACAGGAUGGCUGCUGACUGAGUUCUGAUAAGAUGAAUGGGCAGAAGGGCAUAGGCAUGAAGAGAAAUGUGUUUCUUGGCUGAAUCCAGGCUGUGUCUAUUCUGAGUGCUCGGCUCCCCAAGGGUCAGAGGCUGUGGGCUGAUUCCUGUCACCUCUAUGCGCGUCUCCUGAAAUGAGACAUCCGUGCCUCUCGGGCGAUUAGAAACGUCAGCUGUCAUUAGCAGAGUGGAAGCUUGGUCCUUUUCGGAGACUGUUGUCACACAAACUGCAAUCUGCAUAUAAAGCAAAGAGCUGAGGGAACUGUGGUUCUCCCCAGUUCAGUGAUCCAGUAAUGAGCUCCCAAGGCCUUCCUUCUGAAUCCUUGAGAGGCAGUAGCUCUGCUAAUGCUUCUACCCCGGGAGGUGGUUUCCAUACCCGGCUGUACAACAGAGCUGUAUGUCAUUUUCUCCUUAGGGCUCAAAUUGAACUUGAGAAGGUAGCCUGUGGGUAGCUAAUUAAUAGAUUUUUUUUUUUUACAAUUUUAUGUACCUCGAAUUAUUCUGACUAAAUUUUCAAGCUGAUUAAGAAUAAGACCUGAAAUCUAGCAAGCAUUGUUUCCUGUCCCCAAAGAGCUGACUGGGGGAAGCCCCAAGCAAGCUCUUGAGCUGACAUAUACCAAAAAGAAAACAGGGGAAGGCUGCAGGAUCAAGAUUCAAGACACAAAACAGGUUCCCUUUUCUCUCUCUGUCCUCUUACAAAAAACUCCCCUCUUCCUCCCUUUCCCCAGUUUUCAGCACACAAAAAUUUCUGGUUCUCAAAAAAAAAAAAAAAAUUUGGUUCUCAUUAUCAAGUGCCUGAAACAUAGAAACCCCUGCAGCAGUGGAUUAGAGAUUUCUGCUGGAGCCCGUUCACGUCUGUCCUGCCAGUAAAAAUGAAUUCAGUGGGACCUAUGCCCUGGGGCCACUCAGCCGGAAUCCUGCUCUCACUGGUAGGGCCCUUGCCAUGUGCAGCCCCCCUGCUCAAGACAAACACUGGCCACUCCUCUUGGUUAGAUGUCAGAGUUUACAUCAGAUGGAGAGUGAUGGGGGCUGGUGCUAUCUCCAUGUCCCUCUGUAAACACAUAGAUAAAAUAGAGGGAAGAAAAACUUGAGGGAUAAAAACAGGAAUGGAGAAGGCAUCUUCACGUAGAUCCUUCUUGAACCACGUGCAUCCUGUAGAUGUUCCAACAAGCCGAGAGAUGGGGACUUGAUCCAAGCAGGUUAAUCACAAGGGCUCAUCCUUUGGCCUCCGUGACUACUCCGUUCUGGCCAGUUGGAACUCCAGCCUGGGUUUCUUUCCAAGUUAAACUGAUGGAGAAGGAUUUUCUAUUGGGGCACGGGGCACGGGGGCGGGGGGGAUUGUGAUGCCGAAGCUGGACCUCUGUGGCCAGGCACAAGUGGCUAGCCUGGGCAAAUAAGCCGAUGCGCAGACAAGCAGCAUGCGUUAUCGCAGUGUUUGAUUUCUCGGUUCCAGGUAUUCCUGACGACAGAUCUAACCCCAUCCUUUUCCUGAAAUAUUACCAAAGCAGAAGAGGAGCCAUGUCCUCGAUCAUCCUUUGAGGCCAAC
rnacentral:lncRNA from 1 species